GAUGAAGAACGCAGCGAAAUGCGAUACGUAAUGUGAAUUGCAAAUUCAGUGAAUCAUCGAGUCUUUGAACGCACAUUGCGCCCCCUGGUAUUCCGGGGGGCAUGCCUGUCCGAGCGUCAUUGCUGCCCUCAAGCACGGCUUGUGUGUUGGGCCCCGUCCUCCGAUCCCGGGGGCCGGGCCCGAAAGGCAGCGGCGGCACCGCGUCCGGUCCUCGAGCGUAUGGGGCUUUGUCACCCGCUCUGUAGGCCCGGCCGGCGCUUGCCGAUCAACCCAAAUUUUUUAUCCAGGUUGACCUCGGAUCAGGUAGGGAUACCCGCUGAACUUAAGCAUAUCAAUAAGCGGAGGA
rnacentral:misc_RNA from 1 species